GAUGAAGAACGCAGCGAAACGCGAUAGUUAAUGUGAAUUGCAGAAUUCAGUGAAUCAUCGAGUCUUUGAACGCACAUUGCGCCCCCUGGUAUUCCGGAGGGCAUGCCUGUCCGAGCGUCAUUGCUGCCCAUCAAGCGCGGCUUGUGUGUUGGGCCGCCGUCCGCCUUCCCCCCCGGGGGGAGGGGGACGGGCCCGAAAGGCAGCGGCGGCACCGCGUCCGGUCCUCGAGCGUAUGGGGCUCUGUCACCCGCUCUGGAGGCCCGGCCGGCGCCCGCCGACCCCCAACCUUCUUCUAACCAGGUUGACCUCGGAUCAGGUAGGGAUACCCGCUGAACUUAAGCAUAUCAAUAAGCGGAGGA
rnacentral:misc_RNA from 1 species